GUAUUGUUUGGGUUCGGAAUAUCAUUUUGUCGGAUUGAAAUGUUGAGUUCUUGUUCAAUCUGUUUUCUAGAUCAGAAUCUACUACCCAAUCGUGCUUACUGUGAUAAUUGGAACCGGUUUACCAGGUGUACAUGCCCAGUCAUGUCACGAAAGACUUGAAGAUGCGUCAACGAGAUUCUUUCAACUCAGAUGUCGAAGAAGUCUUCUUAGAAAUGACUCGAUGAUUGCUUCUGAGCACGACCAGGCACCGUGGAUUCCAAAAGGGUGUGGAAUAAGAAACAGAAGACAGCACGAAAUUUGCAGCGUUCUCGCGAUGGAGAAACCGCAACCAUAUGAAGCUCAGCCAUCUACAGUGCCCCCAACAGCAUCAACGCCACCUUUAGAUGACAGAGACUGUCAUGGUUCCCUUGCCCGGAGCGGUAACUUCACAGGUAAUCAAAGUC